rnacentral:rRNA from 1 species
AUUGAACGCUGGCGGCAGGCCUAACACAUGCAAGUCGAGCGAGCGGCGGACGGGUGAGUAAUGUCUGGGAAACUGCCUGAUGGAGGGGGAUAACUACUGGAAACGGUAGCUAAUACCGCAUACCAUCAGAUGUGCCCAGAUGGGAUGAGCUAGUAGGUGGGGUAAUGGCUCACCUAGGCGACGAUCCCUAGCUGGUCUGAGAGGAUGACCAGCGACACGGGAAGGUGGACAGGGUCCAGACUCCUACGGGAGGCAGCAGUGGGGAAUAUUGCACAAUGGGCGCAAGCCUGAUGCAGCCAUGCCGCGUGUGUGAAGAAGGCCUUGGGGGUGGAAAGCACUUUCAGCGGGGAGGCGUUACCCGCAGAAGAAGCACCGGCUAACUCCGUGCCAGCCGCCGCGGUAAUUC